UACGGAGGAUGCAAGCGUUAUCCGGAAUGAUUGGGCGUAAAGGGUCCGCAGGUGGCAGUGUAAGUCUGCUGUCAAAGAAUGAGGCUUAACCUUAUCAGGGCAGUGGAAACUACACAGCUAGAGUACGGUCGGGGUAGAAGGAAUUCCUGGUGUAGCGGUGAAAUGCGUAGAGAUCAGGAAGAACACCGGUGGCGAAAGCGUUCUGCUAGACCUGUACUGACACUGAGGGACGAAAGCUAGGGGAGCGAAUGGG
rnacentral:rRNA from 1 species